UACAGGGGGGCAAGCGUUGUUCGGAAUUACUGGGCGUAAAGGGCUCGUAGGUGGCCAACUAAGUCAGACGUGAAAUCCCUCAGCUUAACUGGGGAACUGCGUCUGAUACUGGUUGGCUUGAGUGCAGGAGAGGAAUGCGGAAUUCCAGGUGUAGCGGUGAAAUGCGUAGAUAUCUGGAGGAACACCGGUGGCGAAGGCGGCAUUCUGGACUGCAACUGACACUGAAGAACGAAAGCCAGGGGAGCAAACGGG
rnacentral:rRNA from 1 species